CGGGGUGUAGCUCAGUCCGGUUUAGAGUGCUGCGUUUGGGACGCAGAGGUCACUGGUUCAAAUCCAGUCACCCCGA
rnacentral:tRNA from 1 species